rnacentral:rRNA from 1 species
UACGGGGGGAGCAAGCGUUGUUCGGAUUUACUGGGCGUAAAGGGCGCGUAGGCGGUCACGACAAGUCAGUUGUGAAAUCUCCGGGCUUAACUCGGAACGGUCAACUGAUACUGUCGGACUAGAGUGCAGAAGGGGCAACUGGAAUUCUCGGUGUAGCGGUGAAAUGCGUAGAUAUCGAGAGGAACACCUGCGGCGAAGGCGGGUUGCGGGGCUGACACUGACGCUGAGGCGCGAAAGCUAGGGGAGCGAACGGG